GAAGCUUGUGAGAUAUUCUUCACUCAUCAGGCCUGUGUUUGCGUAUAAAGCGAUGGGCUGGCGAAAGAUAGGGGUAAACCGCCUGGCUACCAUUGCACUUGUUUUGAUCGCGUUGAUCAUUUUUUGCACCUCGUGCUUUCAGGCCAAAGGGGUUACAGUGCGAUGGGACAAAUGCAGUUGUUGCCAAGCGACAAUGGACUCACGCUGCUGUUUGAAAUGCCACCUUCACCAUCUGUGAUGCCCACCAUUAGAUGGACAUACUGAUAUGCGUUAUUUUAUUUCUGGAUACCUGAUGAAAUUCUAUGAUAUUUUACUAGACAUAUAAUUUAGUUUUACUUGGACCUAGCUACGUUAUUAGAAUAGAUAAAUUACAUAUAAACCAUGAGUUUUAUUGUUAUUGUUAAUUGGAAUACUUGUUUGAAAAUUA